UACGUAGGGACCAAGCGUUGUUCGGAUUUACUGGGCGUAAAGGGCGCGUAGGCGGCAGAUUAAGUCAUCUGUGAAAUCUCCGAGCUUAACUCGGAACGGUCAGGUGAUACUGAUCUGCUAGAGUGCGGAAGGGGCAAUCGGAAUUCUUGGUGUAGCGGUGAAAUGCGUAGAUAUCAAGAGGAACACCUGAGGUGAAGACGGGUUGCUGGGCCGACACUGACGCUGACAGCGCGAAAGCCAGGGGAGCAAACGGG
rnacentral:rRNA from 1 species